rnacentral:rRNA from 1 species
CCUUCUGGAGUUUGGCAGAGGGGGGUGGAAUUCCACGUGUAGCAGUGAAAUGGAGAGGGUGGAGGAACACCAAUGGCGAAGGCAGCCCCCUGGGUCGAUACUGACGCUCAUGCACGAAAGCGUGGGUAGCAAACAGGAUUAGAUACCCUGGUAGUCCACGCCCUAAACGAUGUCAACUAGGUGUUGGGAGGGUAAAACCUUUUAGUGCCGUAGCUAACG